UUUUUGGAAGUCGGUUAAAAUGGGGAUGCAAUUCGAUUCCGAGGGCAACCCCUACGUGAUGUGGGCGGGACACGUGAUAAAGUUAGAGAAGAUGCCCCUGGAGGAGCAGUGCUACAUCGAAAAAGCACAGAAGGAACUUCGAGAAACAGAAGAAAGUAAAGUAAGAGGAUUAAAAGAACUCCGGGAACUAUUAAAAGGUGAAACAACACUCGCGGUGCCAGUCGAUGACGAUGAGUUCCUGCUGAAAUUUCUGAGGCCUACCAAAUUCUAUGCCGAAAGCGCCUUUAAAAAGAUGCAAGCGUAUUACAAAUUCAGACAAUCUCACCCUCAUUACUGUCAAAACUUGAUGCCUAGUGCGAUCAGGCUGGCCUUCAAACAUUCUACAGUAUCCAUCUUGUCGCCUAGGGACGAAGAUGGGAGACGCGUCAUGGUGGUAGAGUCAGGAGGAGCUGAAAUGUUCCUCAGAGCGCUGGGACCCACGGCAGGUGUCCCUGACGGAGGUGUUCCGGGGGAUCCAGCUGGGGCUGGAGGCGGCGAUGGUGGAGCCGCGCACCCAGGUCUGCGGCGUCGUCGUCAUCAUGGACAUGAAGGGCCUCACCUUCUCACACAUCAUGCAAUUCUCCCCCAUGUUCGCCAGCGCGCUGCUGGACUGGAUCCAGGACUGCAUCCCGAUCCGUCUAAAAGCAGUGCACAUAGUGAACCAGCCGUACAUAUUUCGGGUGCUAUUUGCGAUGUUCAAGCCGUUUCUGCGGGAGAAGCUGCGCUCGCGCAUCUUCUUCCACGGGUCCGACAAGCAGUCGCUGCUGCAGCACGUGGACCCGGCGUCGGUGAUGACCAGGUUCGGGGGGUCGCUGCCUGAUGAUGAGGUGUCCGGGGAGGUGAUGUGGGAAAUGCUGCAUCAUUACGAGGAGAACUUUAAAAAAGUGAACGCCUACGGAUACCUGUCGAAGGAGAACUGACAUGCGCCUAAAGAAAAGAAAUACAACAAUAAGGACUAAAAUUAUUGCUAAUUUAAUUAAUUUGUCAAACGUGACUACCCAAUAAAUCACGCGUCGCCCGGCGCGCGCGACGAUGUCGACGUUUUUCGAAGUUAUAGAUAAGGUCUAAGGACAUGUAUUGUUAAUUGUACUAUCAGGGAAGUUGAUUCCUAGCAGAUGGUGGACCUAAGUAACUUGGUCGCCUUAAGUCAAACCCAGCCACCCGAUCCCAGCUAACAUUUAAUUGAUAUAAGCCGACCAAAUGACGUAGUUUCGGCAACUGCCUAGGAAUCAAUUUCUUCGGUGGUACGUACAUGUAUAAGUUAUGACAUAGAAUUGUUAAUAUUAUAGUCAUAAUAAUAUUAUCAUAGAUUAUGGUUUCUGGACUGUAAAUACAUCUUGCUGCUAGGGCCAUCUUUUGACAUAAAUAAGUAGGAAUCUAAAAUCUAGCUAUAGGUACUACAUAUAUAGGUACUAC